rnacentral:rRNA from 1 species
GAUGAACGCUGGCGGCGUGCCUAACACAUGCAAGUCGAGCGAUUUACUUCGGUAAAGAGCGGCGGACGGGUGAGUAACGCGUGGGUAACCUGCCCUGUACACACGGAUAACAUACCGAAAGGUAUGCUAAUACGAGAUAAUAUACUUUUAUCUCAUGGUAGAAGUAUCAAAGCUCUGGCGGUACAGGAUGGACCCGCGUCUGAUUAGCUAGUUGGUAAGGUAACGGCUUACCAAGGCGACGAUCAGUAGCCGACCUGAGAGGGUGAUCGGCCACAUUGGAACUGAGACACGGUCCAAACUCCUACGGGAGGCAGCAGUGGGGAAUAUUGCACAAUGGGCGAAAGCCUGAUGCAGCAAUGCCGCGUGAGCGAUGAAGGCCUCGGUCGUAAGACUCUGUCCUCAAGGAAG